rnacentral:rRNA from 1 species
GGUGAGCUACCCCGAGACAGCCUAUAUUAAUUUAGGGCUAACCCGUCUCUGUGGCAAAAGAGUGGAAAGAGCUCCGGGUAGAAGUGAAAGACCUACCGAACCUGGUGAUAGCUGGUUGACUGAGAAAUGGAUAGAAGUUCAGCCUCGCACACCCCAAACCAAAAAAUAUUAUCACCAAGAUAUUAAGGGAAACGUACGAGAGUUAGUUAAAAGGGGUACAGCCCUUUUAACAAAGGAUACAACCUUUACAGGAGGAUAAAGAUCAUAAUGUAUAAGAUAUACUGUUCUAGUGGGCCUGAAAGCAGCCACCUAAACAGAAAGCGUUAAAGCUCGGACAGAAGGAAGUUUAUUAUACUGAUAAAAAAUCUUAUUCCCCUAGCUAUAUCAGACCAACCCAUGCCUCCAUGGAAGAGAUUAUGCUAAAAUGAGUAAUAAGAAGACCCGCUCUUCUCCCAGCACAAGUGUAAACCAGAUCGGACUGACCACUGGAACUUAACGAACCCAACCCCAGAGGGUAGUGUGAUUAACAAAAAACUCAAGAAGGCCUCACAUAACUAAUCGUUAACCCCACACUGGAGUGCUAUUUUAAGGGAAAGACUAAAAGAAGGGGAAGGAACUCGGCAAACACAAGCCUCGCCUGUUUACCAAAAACAUCGCCUCCUGCAACUAAACUGAGUAUAGGAGGUCCAGCCUGCCCAGUGACUACAGGUUCAACGGCCGCGGUAUCUUGACCGUGCAAAGGUAGCGCAAUCACUUGUCUCUUAAAUAGAGACCUGUAUGAAUGGCUAGACGAGGGCUUAACUGUCUCCCCCUUCCAGUCAGUGAAAUUGAUCUAUCCGUGCAGAAGCGGGUAUAAAUAUACAAGACGAGAAGACCCUUUGGAGCUUAAGGUACAAAAUUCAGCCACGUUAAACAACUCUAUAAGAAGCAAGAACUUAGUGAUAAUGAAAUUUUACCUUCGGUUGGGGCGACCGCGGAGGAAAAACAAGCCUCCGAGUGGACUGGGCCGAAUCCCUGAAGCCAAUAGAGACAUCUAUAAGCCGCAGAACAUCUGACCAAAAAUGAUCCGGCUAAAAGCCGAUCAACGAACCAAGUUACCCAAGGGAUAACAGCGCAAUCCCCUCCCAGAGCCCAUAUCUACGAGGGGGUUUACGACCUCGAUGUUGGAUCAGGACAUCCUAAUGGUGC